UACGAAGGGGGCUAGCGUUGCUCGGAAUUACUGGGCGUAAAGCGCACGUAGGCGGCUUUUUAAGUCGGGGGUGAAAUCCUGGAGCUCAACUCCAGAACUGCCUUCGAUACUGGAAAGCUCGAGUCCGGGAGAGGUGAGUGGAACUGCGAGUGUAGAGGUGAAAUUCGUAGAUAUUCGCAAGAACACCAGUGGCGAAGGCGGCUCACUGGCCCGGUACUGACGCUGAGGUGCGAAAGCGUGGGGA
rnacentral:rRNA from 1 species